rnacentral:rRNA from 1 species
GGCCGUAGCGCGGUGGUCCCACCUGACCCCAUGCCGAACUCAGAAGUGAAACGCCGUAGCGCCGAUGGUAGUGUGGGGUCUCCCCAUGCGAGAGUAGNNACC